UACGGGGGGGGCAAGCGUUGUUCGGAAUUACUGGGCGUAAAGGGCGUGCAGGCGGUCUGUUAAGUGCAGGGUGAAAGCUCCCGGCUCAACUGGGAGAGGUCCUUGCAUACUGGCGGACUUGAGGGGGGUAGAGGAAAGUGGAAUUCCCGGUGUAGUGGUGAUAUGCGUAGAUAUCGGGAGGAACACCUGUGGCGAAGGCGGCUUUCUGGGCCCUACCUGACGCUGAGACGCGAAAGCGUGGGGAGCGAACCGG
rnacentral:rRNA from 1 species